AUGCUCACUUUGGCAGCACAUAUACAAAAAUUGGAAUGAUUUAGAAAUUAUCAUGGUCCCUGCACAGGGAUGACAUGCAAAUUUGUGAUGUGUUCCAGAUUUUU